AAAAUCAAAAAAAAAACAAAAAAAAGCUUAAAAAGAAAGGAAACAUACAGCCUGUCUUUUCAGUCUAUCUUUUUCUUUUUAUUAUCAUUAUCCCCCUUUUUUUUCUCCUUUUUACACACACAAGGAAAAAAAGAGUACGUGUGCAGAGUUUUACGUUGUGAAAUUUAUUUUUCUCACUUUUUCUCUCAUUUCAUGUU
rnacentral:ribozyme from 1 species